UAGGGAAUCUUCCACAAUGGGCGCAAGCCUGAUGGAGCAACGCCGCGUGUGUGAUGAAGGCUUUCGGGUCGUAAAGCACUGUUGUAUGGGAAGAAAUGCUAGAAUAGGGAAUGAUUCUAGUUCGACGGUACCAUACCAGAAAGGGACGGCUAAAUACGUGCCUG
rnacentral:rRNA from 1 species